rnacentral:rRNA from 1 species
UACGUAGGGUGCGAGCGUUGUCCGGAAUUAUUGGGCGUAAAGGGCUCGUAGGCGGUUUGUCACGUCGGGAGUGAAAACUCGGGGCUUAACCCCGAGCCUGCUUCCGAUACGGGCUGACUAGAGGUAUGCAGGGGAGAACGGAAUUCCUGGUGUAGCGGUGAAAUGCGUAGAUAUCGAGAGGAACACCUGCGGCGAAGGCGGGUUGCUGGGCUGACACUGACGCUGAAGCGCGAAAGCUAGGGGAGCGAACGGG